rnacentral:misc_RNA from 1 species
UCGUGGGGCUCCGGCCCCGUCGAGAUAUCACCCUCGCCUUUUUCGAACACCGUUCCGUUUCCUCGGCAGGCCCGCCUGCCAACGGGGACCCCAACCAAACCCUUUUGCGUACCUGCAACCGUCUGGGAAACGAAGCAAAACAAUCA